ensembl:lncRNA
AUGCCUGAAAAGACCAGCGGCUUCCUUGGGUCUAAUUCCUCACAAGUCAAGCAAAACAAUAGCUCGGGCUGCCAAAGCAGAGUCAGUGGCUGCAAAUUUGAAACCGAGCUGGUGCCAGUGCUUCCCAAACUGUGUUCCGAGGGACACCAGUGUGUCGUGAUGUGCUUUCUAGUCCAAGGAUGCACAGGAACAUUCUGGGGGAUGCACGCGCCUGACGGGGUCCACUGCGCGCCGUCAGGGAGCAGCUCUGUGCCUUGGUAGAGCGGGGUUCCCAUCGGCUGCUGAGAUGAGAGGCUAGAACCGGAGUGGAAGUGAGGGGGCUGUGCCCACCGUGCCUCAGACUCAGGCUGUGCGGUGACACCUCGCCGUGCUCGCCCACUGGUACGAAAGAGGGAUCAUGUAAGGAUGAAGUACUGCGUUUUAAUCUCAUUGAAGCGUCGCUGGUUCACAGUGUAGCGUCAGUUUCUGCCAUACAGCCAGGAGACUCAGUUACACACACACACAUGCCCAUUCUUCCUCGGAAUCUUUCCCCACACAGGCGAUCGCGGACUGCUGGGUCGAGUUCUCUGUGCUGCGCAGCGGGCCCCCGUUGAGCACUCUCUCUUAGACCUCAGUGUGCGUAGGCCAGUCGCACACCCCAGGCCAUCCCUCCCCCACCUGUCCCCCGCGGUGACUCUAAGUUUGUUUUCCACGUCUGUGAGUCUGUUUCGCUUUUUUAAGUUCAUUUGUAUCAUUUUUUUAGAUUCCACAUAGAAGUGAAAUCAUACGGUGUUUGUCUUUCAUAUUUCACGUGAAAUACCGUUUUGCAUUUCGACGUACGUGUAUUAUUUUCUCAAACAACUACCUAGUUGUGAGGAUACAACUAUGUAAGCUGUUUGGAUGCCAUCCUUAAGAAGUGGGGCUGUCAGGUAUUUCUCUGGGCCAAGGGUCACCAGGAAGAGUCACCUUAACACUGACAGGUGCCCUGAGCCUCCGAGGUUUGGGAACCUCGCCAGCAGGUUCCUCGGCAGAACAAAGGAGGUGGAACCAAGCCCCGAAAGCGCGAAACGUCAUGCUGACUUCUUUCUGAAACGCUCCCCGUUAGUUUGCCAGGGCUGGACGGCCCGUUAAGCUUUAGCUCUCUCUCAUCCCAAAAGCAAAUACACACCUGAAAGUAUUACUAAGAAAAUCAUCUUUUUAAAGCAGAGAUCACUGCCCAUCGAACAAAGCACAUUCUCAGAACGAGGUCCAGGAGGGCUCUUCCCCAGCCCGCUGUUAGAGGCCCUCGGCCAGUCCAUUCACUAAAGACCCCUUUCACUGCAGACCGAGUAUAUCUUUUUUGUAAAGUCAGAGCUCUCGUAGAAGCCAGAGGCAGCAGAAAACUAACACUUAGGAGCAAAGUUAUAAGUGAAAAGCAAACAAAAGCGGAAAAAAAAAAAAAAUCACCAUUCAGUGACAACUCAAUUAACAACUCCUCUGGGGAAAAUCUUCUGCGUGUAAUCGCUCUCUGAUUAAACCAGGAGGGCCGAAAACACCGCCUGGAUCACAUCUGACAGGCAGCCUGCGUUUCAUUACAGCCCAAGGACGCCGGCGGCUGGACCAACCAAAGCGGCUUUUCGCAUGCCCGCCCGGCGCUGUGCGCAGCCAGAGGGAAGUGACAGCGAACGCCUGCCCAGCCCACUUUCGCGUAACCCCAGCGUUGGAGCGGGAGUUUCCUGCUUUCCUGACUCCAU